UGACUAAGGUUUCCAGAGGAAGGCUCGUCCGCUCUGGGUUAGUCGGGUCCUAAGCUGAGGCCGACAGGCGUAGGCGAUGGAUAACAGGUUGAUAUUCCUGUACCACCUAUAAUCGUUUUAAUCGAUGGGGGGACGCAGUAGGAUAGGCGAAGCGUGCGAUUGGAUUGCACGUCUAAGCAGUAAGGCUGAGUAUUAGGCAAAUCCGGUACUCGUUAAGGCUGAGCUGUGAUGGGGAGAAGACAUUGUGUCUUCGAGUCGUUGAUUUCACACUGCCGAGAAAAGCCUCUAGAUAGAAAAUAGGUGCCCGUACCGCAAACCGACACAGGUAGUCAAGAUGAGAAUUCUAAGGUGAGCGAGCGAACUCUCGUUAAGGAACUCGGCAAAAUGACCCCGUAACUUCGGGAGAAGGGGUGCUCUUUAGGGUUAACGCCCAGAAGAGCCGCAGUGAAUAGGCCCAAGCGACUGUUUAUCAAAAACACAGGUCUCUGCUAAACCGUAAGGUGAUGUAUAGGGGCUGACGCCUGCCCGGUGCUGGAAGGUUAAGAGGAGUGGUUAGCUUCUGCGAAGCUACGAAUCGAAGCCCCAGUAAACGGCGGCCGUAACUAUAACGGUCCUAAGGUAGCGAAAUUCCUUGUCGGGUAAGUUCCGACCCGCACGAAAGGCGUAACGAUUUGGGCACUGUCUCAACGAGAGACUCGGUGAAAUCAUAGUACCUGUGAAGAUGCAGGUUACCCGCGACAGGACGGAAAGACCCCGUGGAGCUUUACUGUAGCCUGAUAUUGAAAUUCGGCACAGCUUGUACAGGAUAGGUAGGAGCCUUUGAAACGUGAGCGCUAGCUUACGUGGAGGCGCUGGUGGG
rnacentral:rRNA from 1 species